rnacentral:rRNA from 1 species
GAUGAACGCUGGCGGCGUGCCUAAUACAUGCAAGUCGAGCGAACAGACGAGGAGCUUGUUCCUCUGACGUUAGCGGCGGACGGGUGAGUAACACGUGGAUAACCUACCUAUAAGCCUGGGAUAACUUCGGGAAACCGGAGCUAAUACCGCAUAAUAUAUUUAACCGCAUGGUUCAAUAGUGAAAGACGGUUUUGCUGUCACUUAUAGAUGGCUCCGCUCCGCAUUAGCUAGUUGGUAAGGUAACGGCUUACCAAGGCAACGAUGCGUAGCCGACCUGAGAGGGUGAUCGGCCACACGGGAACGGAGACACGGUCCAGACUCCUACGGGAGGCAGCAGUAGGGAAUCUUCCGCAAUGGGCGAAAGCCUGACGGGGCAACGCCGCGUGAGUGAUGAAGGUCUUCGGAUCGUAAAACUCUGUUAUUAGGGAAGAACAAAUGGGUAAGUAACUAUGCACGUCGUGACGGUACCUAAUCAGAAAGCCACGGCUAACUACGUG